rnacentral:rRNA from 1 species
AUUGAACGCUGACGGCAGGCUUAACACAUGCAAGUCGAGCGGGGGAAGGUAGCUUGCUACCGGACCUAGCGGCGGACGGGUGAGUAAUGCUUAGGAAUCUGCCUAUUAGUGGGGGACAACAUCUCGAAAGGGAUGCUAAUACCGCAUACGUCCUACGGGAGAAAGCAGGGGAUCUUCGGACCUUGCGCUAAUAGAUGAGCCUAAGUCGGAUUAGCUAGUUGGUGGGGUAAAGGCCUACCAAGGCGACGAUCUGUAGCGGGUCUGAGAGGAUGAUCGGACAAACGGGGACUGAGAUACGGCCCAGACUCCUACGGGAGGCAGCAGUGGGGAAUAUUGGACAAUGGGGGGAACCCUGAUCCAGCCAUGCCGCGUGUGUGAAGAAGGCCUUAUGGUUGUAAAGCACUUUAAGCGAGGAGGAGGCUACUCUAGUUAAUACCUAGGGAUAGUGGACGUUACUCGCAGAAUAAGCACCGGCUAACUCUGUGCCAGCAGCCGCUGUAA